GACGAACGCUGGCGGCGUGCUUAACACAUGCAAGUCGAACGGAAAGGCCUGCUUUCCCUUGUGGAUUGCGGGUACUCGAGUGGCGAACGGGUGAGUAACACGUGAGUGAUCUGCCCCCAACUUGGGUAUAAGCCUGGGAAACUGGGUCUAAUUCCCGAUAGGACUGCAGGGUGGUGCCUGUGGUGGAAAACGAUUUUCUAGUGGUUGGGGAUGAGCUCGCGGCCUAUCAGCUUGUUGGUGGGGUAAUGGCCUACCAAGGCGGCGACGGGUAGCCGGCCUGAGAGGGUGGACGGCGACAUUGGGACUGAGAUACGGCCCAGACUCCUACGGGAGGCAGCAGUGGGGAAUAUUGCACAAUGGGCGGAAGCCUGAUGCAGCGACGCCGCGUGGGGGAUGACGGCCUUCGGGUUGUAAACUCCUUUCGACCGCGAGGAAGCCACCUGGUUGGAAGGGUGGUGACGGUAGUGGUAGAAGAAGCACCGGCUAACUACGUG
rnacentral:rRNA from 1 species